GACGAACGCUGGCGGCGUGCUUAACACAUGCAAGUCGAACGGAAAGGCCCUGCUUUUGUGGGGUGCUCGAGUGGCGAACGGGUGAGUAACACGUGAGUAACCUGCCCUUGACUUUGGGAUAACUUCAGGAAACUGGGGCUAAUACCGGCUAGGAGCUCCUGCUGCAUGGUGGGGGUUGGAAAGUUUCGGCGGUUGGGGAUGGACUCGCGGCUUAUCAGCUUGUUGGUGGGGUAGUGGCUUACCAAGGCUUUGACGGGUAGCCGGCCUGAGAGGGUGACCGGCCACAUAGGGACUGAGGUACGGCCCAGACUCCUACGGGAGGCAGCAGUGGGGAAUAGUGCACAAUGGGCGGAAGCCUGAUGCAGCAACGCCGCGUGCGGGAUGACGGCCUUCGGGUUGGAAACCGCUUUCGCCUGUGACGAAGCGUGAGUGACGGUAAUGGGUAAAGAAGCACCGGCUAACUACGUG
rnacentral:rRNA from 1 species